AUGGUGAUGACACAAGGUUUCAUGAAGGAGGGGUUUUUAUUUUUCUCUGCAUUUUUCGGUUCCCCCUCUGUAACAACUCUCGCUCCCUGUAACGAUUUGUCUCACUGUUCUGUCAAUUCCCUCCCCAUCUGUAAUAAUUUCUUCACUUCUGUAAACUGUAAUCUUCUUUGUUCUGUAAAUUUUGUCCCUCCUCUCUAA